CCUACGGGAGGCAGCAGUGGGGAAUUUUGGACAAUGGGCGCAAGCCUGAUCCAGCAAUGCCGCGUGAGUGAAGAAGGCCUUCGGGUUGUAAAGCUCUUUUGUCAGGGAAGAAACGGUGGAGGUUAAUACCUUCUGCUAAUGACGGUACCUGAAGAAUAAGCACCGGCUAACUACGUGCCAGCAGCCGCGGUAAUACGUAGGGUGCAAGCGUUAAUCGGAAUUACUGGGCGUAAAGCGUGCGCAGGCGGUUGUGCAAGACAGAUGUGAAAUCCCCGGGCUCAACCUGGGAAUUGCAUUUGUGACUGCACGGCUAGAGUGUGUCAGAGGGGGGUAGAAUUCCACGUGUAGCAGUGAAAUGCGUAGAGAUGUGGAGGAAUACCGAUGGCGAAGGCAGCCCCCUGGGAUAACACUGACGCUCAUGCACGAAAGCGUGGGGAGCAAACAGGAUUAGAUACCCUGGUAGUCCACGCCCUAAACGAUGUCUACUAGUUGUCGGGUCUUAAUUGACUUGGUAACGCAGCUAACGCGUGAAGUAGACCGCCUGGGGAGUACGGUCGCAAGAUUAAAACUCAAAUGAAAUUGACGG
rnacentral:rRNA from 1 species